UACGUAGGGUGCGAGCGUUGUCCGGAAUUAUUGGGCGUAAAGGGCUCGUAGGCGGUUUGUCGCGUCGGGAGUGAAAUCAUCUGGCUUAACUGGGUGCUUGCUUUCGAUACGGGCAGACUAGAGGUAUGCAGGGGAGAACGGAAUUCCUGGUGUAGCGGUGAAAUGCGCAGAUAUCAGGAAGAACACCCGUGGCUAAGGCGGCUCUCUAGUACGGUACUGACGCUGAGACGCGAAAGCGUGGGGAGCGAACAGG
rnacentral:rRNA from 1 species